GGGGGGGGGGGGGGGGGGGAGGGAGUGACGAGAUUCAUCCAACUUCAUUUUCUAAACCUCUCUGGUAUUCCCAAAUCUUCAGUGGCGGUUUUUUACUUUUUAGCCGAAAUCAUUCCCGUCUUUAUCGUUCACUUUUUUUCUUCUCUCUCUCUCUCUCUUUUUUUUUUAAAUUAUUACUUUGGGGGGGACGAGGUCAGGUGGGGAUGGUUUUGUGAGGUGGUUUUGGCGGUGCCCUUUGGUGGUUGGGUGCCUGUAAACCAAUAAAGGUGCUUGAAUCGUUUUUGCCCAGGCUUCAGCACCAGCCGGCACCGAUCCUUUAUCUGGGAAUGGAAAGCUUGUUCUCUAAAUUCUACUUUCUUUGCAUGCCAACCCCGGGGAGCAUGAUUUGGUGAAGGCCGGUGUAUGUGUGGCGUUCGCCAAACGGCAGAUUCCAAAAGUACUGGCACAGCCAUAUUCUCGCUGGACAAACUGUAUGCCAAGGACUCUAAGCACUGCGGAUGUUGAAACAAUGGCUCUGCCACAGCUUACUCACUCGGGUCAGAAUUUGAUCAUCAGGACGGAUGAAGGAACAGUUACUACUAUGAAUGGGUUUUGUCCAAGCAAUUCUUUUUGUUUUUUUGGCCACAAAUUAUGACAUGGGAUUUCUUUUUCGGGUCCUGCCAAGCACAUAACAUGCCGGUUAAAUGGCCACCCAAUUGCAGGUUGUUUUAUGUCAAGUGUUUAAUAACGUUCACGGAUGUGUGAAAGUAUUGCGAGAACCUCAAACGAAGGUAGUCUAUUCCCCAUCACGCUGCUAACUUCCUGUCAGGUGAUCUUACGGAACACUACCACUUCUAAGAAAUGACCGGAUGCACAGA